UACGUAGGUGGCAAGCGUUAUCCGGAAUUAUUGGGCGUAAAGAGCGCGCAGGUGGUUGAUUAAGUCUGAUGUGAAAGCCCACGGCUUAACCGUGGAGGGUCAUUGGAAACUGGUCGACUUGAGUGCAGAAGAGGGAAGUGGAAUUCCAUGUGUAGCGGUGAAAUGCGUAGAGAUAUGGAGGAACACCGGUGGCGAAGGCGGCUUUCUGGCCAGUUACUGACGCUCAUGCGCGAAAGCUGGGGUAGCGAACCGGAUUAGAUACCCCCGUA
rnacentral:rRNA from 1 species